rnacentral:lncRNA from 1 species
UUUAUCACUAAUGAUUACCACUAUAGGUUCCAGCUGAAGAACAAACAUUCUGGGAAUCAAUCAUACCUUAAUUAACAAGAACUGUUUUUCUUUCUCUUUUCUCCCCUGACCUCUAGGCCCUCACAACUGCAGGCCUUUAGAGAACUAACACAUAGUAGUGGGAAUGCAGUAAGGCUGUUGGAUGAAUGGAUGCAGGGACCCAACCUGGAGGAGAACCAGGAAGAAUCACUCUCUUCUCACUGUUUUCAAGUUGGUUGAAUCCAUGGAUGCAGAACUCAUUCAUACAGAUGGCCAAGAGUUCUGACUGUAGCUGCCAAGCUGUAAGCAUCAGCUGCUGUCAUUCUUUCAACAGCCCAAUGAGAG